rnacentral:lncRNA from 10 species
CAUAUUAUAAUUUGAGGUAUGGGAAGUAAGUAAGCUUAAUUUGAAUAAUUCUCAAUUUGUGUUUUAAGCCUGAGGAAUAAAAUGUAAUUUAAGCUUUUUACGACAUUUUAGUUUUCCAGAUGCUGCUUUAUCCUUUUUAAUCUCAUAAUGGUGUGUGUUCCAGUGUGAGGCUGAAUCUGAAGAGGCACUGAGGGGUGUGGGGAGUAACCUCUGGAUAUACAUGCUCUGAUGAUGCUACUUCUGGAUUACAUUCACCCUAAAAGAAGGGUAAAAUGUGGGCAACUAUUGUGGGUACAGGUGUUUUGACUUUUCUCUGCAAAGAGUAUCAGGAAUGUCAGGUUUUGAAAUUCCAUGAGGCUUUUGGAUUUAAGCUUCAGAUAAACUACACACAGAAGAAAACUAUGAAAUCACGUAUCACUAAUAUGUUUCAGCACGUAUUUAAAAAAAAUUACACAAUAAAUUUACAGAUGGGGAUUUGAAAAAUGAAAUGUGUGUAUACAUUGAACAGUUUCUGUAACCUUUAAGUUCCUCUGCAUGGAUCUGAAUACCAAAAUAUUUCUCUGAUUUUGUAAAGCUAAGCACUUCAGAUCUAUCUUCUUUUAAUCACACAUUAAAAUAACUUUUAAUGUGUGCUUCUAAGCUCCCUUAUAUCAAAUCUAAAUAAUAAUGCAAAAUGGAGCAUCUGUAGUCCAUGUAGAUUAAAAAAAAUUAAUGAAAGCAUUCCAAGUAUUAUUUUUAUGUAAACUCUAAAACUAAGCAAUUAUAUCAUAAGUAUGGAUUGCUUCUCAUAUUUUUUGUUUUGCUUCUUUGAGUCAAAAAACAGCAACAACAUAUAAAUGCUGUGCAAAUUGACCAGAGUCAUUGAACACUCAAUAUCUUACUUUAAAAUCUCUAGUUUUAUCAGCGUUAGAAAAUAGUUCCCUUAGAGUGUGGUGAGCCAAGAGUUUGUACGUUGACUUUGAGUUUCACUGGCCACAAAUAAUCGGAUAUGAAAUCACAAGUCAUUAAUGUGUUCCAGCACAUUUUGGAAGCCUUCAUUGUUAUUUACAGACAUAAAUAAGAUAUAGCUUUGAAAUCAAUUUAUUUUCUUCAAAUAAGAUACUCUUCUACAUACAGACCCUGUAUAUAAUCUUGGAUGCUAAAUUUAAAAAAAUUAAUAGUAUGAUAGUAUUUUUAUCAAAGAUUUUUCUUAGCAGAAUUUAUUAAUUGAAAAUACUCCUUGUGCAAACAUUGAGAAAUUAAUAACUUUUGCAGAAAUUACUUAAAUAUCUAUAUAAGAUAUUCUUCCUAUGACAAAUCUGUACAAACACAGACAUGAAGAAGAGAUUGGAGAGGAAAAGAUAAGGCUCCAUACAGAGUUAGGUUGUGACUUUUCUACAACAAGGUACAAGAAGGAAAAUAUUCUGAGAGGAAUUUAAUUUGUUUAACCACAUAGGUGGACACACUUAUAGGCACAUAUCUUCUUGAACAAUAUCUGGAAGGUAAAAUGAUAUUCAAAACAAGGAUUUAGAUAUUGACGUGAUCCAAAUAUCUGAUGUAUACAGACUUGUAGAACCCAGCAUAUGGAACACUCAGCUAGAAGUUAAUGACCUUUGGCCUUUAUUUUGUAUCCAGCUUCAGUCUAAUCUUUCGGGAUGUCAGUUGAUUGUAGCUCAGAUGUAUUUACAGAAAGAGCAGAGAAAAUGAUCAGAAAUCUGGGUAGGAGGAGGGAAGUGUAUUGAGUCCAUUGUUUUUGGCAAUGCAACAAGCUUAAUACAAAAUUAAUCAUCAUUUUCUUACAGAACUUUACUCGUACGUCUGAUUUGGUGUCUUCUUUUUGGUUUAGCUGAAUACAUAUUUUGGAUACAAAAACAUAUCUGAACUCAUAUCAGAGUCAUCAAGAAGUGCCAGUUAACUGAGCAUGUUAAUGGAACAUAUUUGAAUGCAAAACAUUUGGUGUAAGUCUUUAUCUAUCAGUGUGGACAGUGGUUGAUCAGCUGUUCAAAAAUUGGGACUCUACAGCUGCAUAUUAUGGAAAGAGGGAAAACUCCCAUGUCUCAAGGUCAAAUUGUACUUAGCCUUUAUCUAUGUUAUGCCACUGACUUACUUGGCUUCCAGUUUUACAAAUAGGUCAAAUCUCAGAAUAGUUCCUGGGAAAUAUAUGACUCAAAUUUGAAUUCUCUCUCUCUCUCUCUCUCUCUCUCUCUCUCUUUCUCUCUCUCUCUCAUCCCUUGGGAUUAAAGCCAAAUUAAAUAUUAUCUGAAGAAAAACAAUACCACUGAAAUUUUUAUUUUCUACCUCAUCUGCCAAAGUCAAAUCUUUUUCCAAUAUAGAAUUAGAAAUCUCAUAAACCUUACAGCCAAAUGUAACUCACAACCAUUUGGAGAUAAGACCAGCACUCAGAACACAAUCACUUUUUCAGUUUCUAAAUACAUAAAUUUAAAAUGAAAAUAUUAAAUGCAGUGCUUUUUACCAUGUUCCCACUCUUUUAAAGACAUAUAUACUACUCUAACUUGUACCAAUGGAAGAUGUAGUGAUGCAGUUUUUUUUUAAUAAAAGAAGAGUUCAGAAAAAAACAACAUAUUCUUUGAAGCACUGAUGAAAAAAUGGAAAAAAGGUGUUAGUCAAGGGAGGAAUGAUUACAUGUAUACAUUUUGCUAAGUUCAUGGAAAUGAAAGAUUUUUGCCCUUCAACACUUCAGAGACAUCAAAAACUAUUUUAGUAAUAAUUCUUUUCUCAAACUCUCAGGUGAAAGAGAAUAGAGAAAAUAAGCAUUGAAGGGCUCUUGGAAUUAUGUCGUACGAGAAAGGCAUGUAACAUUUAUGGAUUAUAAUAGGUUCAUCAGAUGGUUUAGUCUUAUUGCUCACCGAUACUAACUUUAGAAACUUUAAAAUGGGUCAUAAUAAUUAGAGUUACCCUAAUAAUUGUAUCAAGGCCAUUUUUCUUAUGUCAAAAAUCAUCAAAUUCUUAUUCUAAAUUAUCUACUGGCAAUUUCGAAGUGCCAUCUGAAAUGCUUUAGUUUCAAACAGAAAUUAAUACAUCCUAGCAUUUAUUAACUGAGCAAGACGUUCUAAAUAUGCAAUAGAUGAAAGAUACUGUUCCAGACAUUCAGAAGGAUGUUUUAAAAAGUGUCCUGGCGACAGUUGUCAUCAUCAAUGAAAUUAAAGCCUCAUUUAAGGGUUACAACCUGCAUGUAAAAAGCUGUGAACAAUGCAAUAUAAAGCAAAAAGUGGUAAAAAAGUGUUCUAAAAGAGAUAGAUACAAUGAAAUGAAAGGUUGAGGAACAUAUUAAAACUGUGUGAGUAAUAUGCUACACUUGUAUCCUGUAGGACCAAGGAGUGAUACAAGAGGCAGGGGAAACUGCAGGAGGUAGAAGCCUAGGGGACCACUUAAUAAGAUAACCAAAUGUAGAUUAUUUGAUAUGGAUUAGAGGAUUCAUGCAUGGAAAUUAAGUGAGAUGUUAAGAGAAGUUGGAUUGAGAUUUUAGACAGAAUAAAACUCAUUCUUUAGCCAAUGUCAUUGAGUUUAUUUUAUCACCAAACAGGAAUAUGACUGUGGCCUGAUCUCUGUUUUAGAAAACUGCAUUUUUCAUUAACAUCUACCUGUCAGUGCCAAUAUAUUCAAGAGUCUAGAGUUAUGUGUACCUACAGAGAAAAUAUUAGACUAUUUUAAUUAUUUCUAAAAUAUAAUUACCUAUUUUAGGACUAUACCUAGAGAAGUUUUUUAACUUCUCUAGGUAUAGGCAUAGUUAUUAUACAUUUCAGCUUAGAUUGUUGGAUUCAUAGAAUUUUAUUGAUUUGUUCAUCUUAACAAAAAUAAAAUGACAAGAGAGACAAUUUUAAGAACAACAUUUAUUCACAUAAAUUUAUUCUUAACUGGAUAAAUGUGUCUAUUUUCUAUAAUCAUUGUUUUAGAUAUAAACAUAUUUUUGAACUAAAAAAAAUUCAUAUACCAAAGACCAGAUUGAUGCCUUAGUGUGACUACAUCAGUUAUUUUUAAUAAAUUAUUUUUAAUGCAUAUCAGCACAAAUAUCACAUACUCUUGUGUUUCAUUAUAUAAUAAUUUAUAUUCAGAUUUAUUUUCAAAAAGCAUCAAUCAUACAAUAUGAAGAUGCAAUUAUUUAUUAAUAUGACGGGUAUACUUAGCCUGAAAUCCCAACUUUUAUAUCUUCUGUUUCUCCCUUUUUCUUGUUUCAUUUUUACAUGCUUACUUUUUACAACCUUUGAAACCUAUGUUUGAAUAUUUUCUAUAUUUCAUGUAUUUUUCAGAACAAAUUCAAGAAAAUGUUUUUCAGAAAUAGAAAGUAGUCAUGUUGUUUUCAGAGUUUUUAUUUUUUAACUCAGUUUCUUCUUUGUCACUAAUCAUGUUCUUCCUCAUCAAAAAGUAAUAAAAAAUUUGCGUUCAU